rnacentral:misc_RNA from 1 species
GAUGAAGAACGUAGCGAAAUGCGAUAAGUAGUGUGAAUUGCAGAAUUCAGUGAAUCAUCGAAUCUUUGAACGCACAUUGCGCCCUUUGGUAUUCCUUAGGGCAUGCCUGUUCGAGCGUCAUUUAAACCUUCAAGCUAAGCUUGGUGUUGGGUGACUGUCCGCUUCACUGCGGACUCGCCUCAAAAUUAUUGGCGGCCGGUACAUUGGCUUCGAGCGCAGCAGAAACGCGAACUCGGGCCCGUCGUAUUGGCUCCCAGAAGCUAUCUUCACAAUUUUGACCUCGGAUCAGGUAGGGAUACCAGCUGAACUUAAGCAUAUCAAUAAGCGGAGGA